UGACCACUCAAGCCUCGCUUGGUAUUGGGGUUCGCGGUCUUGCGGCCUCUAAAAUCAGUGGCGGUGCCGUCUGGCUCUAAGCGUAGUAAUUUUCUCGCUAUGGGGUCCGGAUAGUUACUUGUCAAAACCCUAACUUCUCAC
rnacentral:misc_RNA from 1 species